CGGAAGGGCUGGCUGGGCGCUCCACAGUUCCUCCGGGUGCAUGCCUGGGAAGCUGUGCCUGCCUGUGGCUGGGUCUUUGUCUGCAGAUAGACGUGGGGAUGCCUCUGUGAUGAGAAAACUGUGGCUCCAAUUCUGCCCGUGAGAGGGCCUCUGCUCAGUCUCAGGAGGAACCAAGAAAGGCCUGCCAAUACCGUGUUGGAGAUUGAGGUUUGGCAACCCCAGGAGCCGCCCCCGUGGGUGGGCCCUGCCAUGAGCUGGGAUCCCAAUGUCAGGGUCCCUGAGGGGCUCACUGGAUACCCCAGGCUCUCGGACAAAAGGGGAGCGAGGAACCUGCGACUUCCAGGAAUGUCACAGGAUACACCCCAAAGUCGGCCAGGAGUUCGCAGAGGCUGGAUUGACCAGAUUUUUCCAGUGCUCACCCGCCCCCUGGUGGUCAUCAUGAGCAUUCCAGGCCUUAGCAAUCUUGAGAAAG
rnacentral:lncRNA from 1 species